rnacentral:rRNA from 1 species
GAGACGCUAGCGGCAGGCUUAAUACAUGCAAGUCGAGGGGUAAGGCUCAUUUCGGUGAGUACACGACCGGCGCACGGGUGCGUAACGCGUAUGCAACCUGCCCUUAACUGAGGGAUAGCUUCCGGAAACGGGAAUUAAUACCUCAUAAUAUCCGGAGAUCGCAUGGAUUCCGGAUCAAAGCUCCGGCGGUUAAGGAUGGGCAUGCGUGACAUUAGUUAGUUGGUGAGGUAACGGCUCACCAAGGCUGCGAUGUCUAGGGGGCCUGAGAGGGUGGUCCCCCACACUGGUACUGAGACACGGACCAGACUCCUACGGGAGGCAGCAGUGAGGAAUAUUGGGCAAUGGGCGCAAGCCUGACCCAGCCAUGCCGCGUGCAGGAUGACGGCCCUACGGGUUGUAAACUGCUUUUAUACAAGAAGAAACCCCCGGACGUGUUCGGGGCUGACGGUAUUGUAUGAAUAAGCAUCGGCUAACUCCGUGCCAGCCGCCGCGGUAAUACAAGCCGAAU